rnacentral:rRNA from 1 species
UUAAGCGACUAAGCGUACACGGUGGAUGCCCUGGCAGUCAGAGGCGAUGAAGGACGUGCUAAUCUGCGAUAAGCGUCGGUAAGGUGAUAUGAACCGUUAUAACCGGCGAUUUCCGAAUGGGGAAACCCAGUGUGAUUCGUCACACUAUCAUUAACUGAAUCCAUAGGUAAUGAGGCAACGGGGGAACUGAAACAUCUAAGUACCCCGAGGAAAAGAAAUCAACCGAGAUUCCCCCAGUAGCGGCGAGCGAACGGGGAGCAGCCCAGAGCCUGAAUCAGUGUGUGUGUUAGUGGAAGCGUCUGGAAAGGCGUGCGAUACAGGGUGACAGCCCCGUACACAAAAAUGCACAUACUGUGAGCUCGAUGAGUAGGGCGGGACACGUGGUAUCCUGUCUGAAUAUGGGGGGACCAUCCUCCAAGGCUAAAUACUCCUGACUGACCGAUAGUGAACCAGUACCGUGAGGGAAAGGCGAAAAGAACCCCGGCGAGGGGAGUGAAAAAGAACCUGAAACCGUGUACGUACAAGCAGUGGGAGCACGCUUAGGCGUGUGACUGCGUACCUUUUGUAUAAUGGGUCAGCGACUUAUAUUCUGUAGCAAGGUUAACCGAAUAGGGGAGCCGAAGGGAAACCGAGUCUUAACUGGGCGUUAAGUUGCAGGGUAUAGACCCGAAACCCGGUGAUCUAGCCAUGGGCAGGUUGAAGGUUGGGUAACACUAACUGGAGGACCGAACCGACUAAUGUUGAAAAAUUAGCGGAUGACUUGUGGCUGGGGGUGAAAGGCCAAUCAAACCGGGAGAUAGCUGGUUCUCCCCGAAAGCUAUUUAGGUAGCGCCUCGUGAAUUCAUCUCCGGGGGUAGAGCACUGUUUCGGCAAGGGGGUCAUCCCGACUUACCAACCCGAUGCAAACUGCGAAUACCGGAGAAUGUUAUCACGGGAGACACACGGCGGGUGCUAACGUCCGUCGUGAAGAGGGAAACAACCCAGACCGCCAGCUAAGGUCCCAAAGUCAUGGUUAAGUGGGAAACGAUGUGGGAAGGCCCAGACAGCCAGGAUGUUGGCUUAGAAGCAGCCAUCAUUUAAAGAAAGCGUAAUAGCUCACUGGUCGAGUCGGCCUGCGCGGAAGAUGUAACGGGGCUAAACCAUGCACCGAAGCUGCGGCAGCGACGCUUAUGCGUUGUUGGGUAGGGGAGCGUUCUGUAAGCCUGUGAAGGUGUGCUGUGAGGUAUGCUGGAGGUAUCAGAAGUGCGAAUGCUGACAUAAGUAACGAUAAAGCGGGUGAAAAGCCCGCUCGCCGGAAGACCAAGGGUUCCUGUCCAACGUUAAUCGGGGCAGGGUGAGUCGACCCCUAAGGCGAGGCCGAAAGGCGUAGUCGAUGGGAAACAGGUUAAUAUUCCUGUACUUGGUGUUACUGCGAAGGGGGGACGGAGAAGGCUAUGUUGGCCGGGCGACGGUAGUCCCGGUUUAAGCGUGCAGGCUGGUUUUCCAGGCAAAUCCGGAAAAUCAAGGCCGAGGCGUGAUGACGAGGCACUACGGUGCUGAAGCAACAAAUGCCCUGCUUCCAGGAAAAGCCUCUAAGCAUCAGGUAACAUCAAAUCGUACCCCAAACCGACACAGGUGGUCAGGUAGAGAAUACCAAGGCGCUUGAGAGAACUCGGGUGAAGGAACUAGGCAAAAUGGUGCCGUAACUUCGGGAGAAGGCACGCUGAUACGUAGGUGAAGCGACUUGCUCGUGGAGCUGAAAUCAGUCGAAGAUACCAGCUGGCUGCAACUGUUUAUUAAAAACACAGCACUGUGCAAACACGAAAGUGGACGUAUACGGUGUGACGCCUGCCCGGUGCCGGAAGGUUAAUUGAUGGGGUUAGCGCAAGCGAAGCUCUUGAUCGAAGCCCCGGUAAACGGCGGCCGUAACUAUAACGGUCCUAAGGUAGCGAAAUUCCUUGUCGGGUAAGUUCCGACCUGCACGAAUGGCGUAAUGAUGGCCAGGCUGUCUCCACCCGAGACUCAGUGAAAUUGAACUCGCUGUGAAGAUGCAGUGUACCCGCGGCAAGACGGAAAGACCCCGUGAACCUUUACUAUAGCUUGACACUGAACAUUGAGCCUUGAUGUGUAGGAUAGGUGGGAGGCUUUGAAGUGUGGACGCCAGUCUGCAUGGAGCCGACCUUGAAAUACCACCCUUUAAUGUUUGAUGUUCUAACGUGGACCCGUGAUCCGGGUUGCGGACAGUGUCUGGUGGGUAGUUUGACUGGGGCGGUCUCCUCCUAAAGAGUAACGGAGGAGCACGAAGGUUGGCUAAUCCUGGUCGGACAUCAGGAGGUUAGUGCAAUGGCAUAAGCCAGCUUGACUGCGAGCGUGACGGCGCGAGCAGGUGCGAAAGCAGGUCAUAGUGAUCCGGUGGUUCUGAAUGGAAGGGCCAUCGCUCAACGGAUAAAAGGUACUCCGGGGAUAACAGGCUGAUACCGCCCAAGAGUUCAUAUCGACGGCGGUGUUUGGCACCUCGAUGUCGGCUCAUCACAUCCUGGGGCUGAAGUAGGUCCCAAGGGUAUGGCUGCUCGCCAUUUAAAGUGGUACGCGAGCUGGGUUUAGAACGUCGUGAGACAGUUCGGUCCCUAUCUGCCGUGGGCGCUGGAGAACUGAGGGGGGCUGCUCCUAGUACGAGAGGACCGGAGUGGACGCAUCACUGGUGUUCGGGUUGUCAUGCCAAUGGCACUGCCCGGUAGCUAAAUGCGGAAGAGAUAAGUGCUGAAAGCAUCUAAGCACGAAACUUGCCCCGAGAUGAGUUCUCCCUGACCCUUUAAGGGUCCUGAAGGAACGUUGAAGACGACGACGUUGAUAGGCCGGGUGUGUAAGCGCAGCGAUGCGUUGAGCUAACCGGUACUAAUGAACCGUGAGGCUUAACCUU